rnacentral:tRNA from 1 species
AAAAAAUUAGUUAAAUUACAUAACAUUAGUAUGUCACACUAAAAUUAUUAAGUUUCUAAUAUUUUUUU